CCUACGGGCGGCAGCAGUGAGGAAUAUUGGUCAAUGGACGAGAGUCUGAACCAGCCAAGUAGCGUGAAGGAUGACUGCCCUAUGGGUUGUAAACUUCUUGUAUAUGGGAAUAAAAUGUUCCACGUGUGGGAUUUUGUAUGUACCAUAUGAAUAAGGAUCGGCUAACUCCGUGCCAGCAGCCGCGGUAAUACGGAGGAUCCGGGCGUUAUCCGGAUUUAUUGGGUUUAAAGGGAGCGUAGGUGGGUUGUUAAGUCAGUUGUGAAAGUGUGCGGCUCAACCGUAAAAUUGCAGUUGAAACUGGCAGUCUUGAGUACAGUAGAGGUGGGCGGAAUUCGUGGUGUAGCGGUGAAAUGCUUAGAUAUCACGAAGAACUCCGAUUGCGAAGGCAGUUCACUGGACUGCAACUGACACUGAGGCGCGAAAGUGUGGGUAUCAAACAGGAUUAGAUACCCCAGUAGUC
rnacentral:rRNA from 1 species